rnacentral:rRNA from 1 species
UACAGAGGCCUCGAGCGUUGCGCGGAAUCACUGGGCUUAAAGGGUGCGUAGGCUGAUAUGCAAGUGCUUUGUGAAAUCCCAGAGCUUAACUCUGGAACUGCUUGGCAGACUGCAUGUCUUGAGGUCGGUAGGGGUUGCUGGAACGGUUGGUGGAGCGGUGAAAUGCGUAGAUAUCAACCGGAACGCCAAAGGUGAAGACAAGCAACUGGGCCGAUUCUGACGCUGAGGCACGAAAGCGUGGGGAGCAAACGGG